GAACCAGAAUCUGUCUCAAAAAAAAAAAAAAAGAAAGAAAGAAAAAGAAAAAAGAGAAAUAGGUAGGAGUUUGAGAUCAUCCCACAAAGGUUAAUGCUCCUAAUAGUUGCACCUGGAAAGGCCUGCAACAGAACAAUUGUUGUUUGUGUCACUGGCUGUGCCCAAAAAACUGGUAGAACAAUGAUGAUCCAAAGGUAAAUGUGGGCAUUUAUUCACGUCUCACUUAAGGAGAAAAGAGUUGUUAUACAAGGCCUGAUCUUUUCUGGGUAUUUUGUUUUCCUGCAGGUGGUAAAGGCAUUUGUAGUCCUAACUCCAGCCUACUCCUCUCAUGACCCAGUUGCACUGACACGGGAACUCCAGGAGCAUGUGAAAAGGGUGACUGCUCCAUACAAAUACCCCAGGAAGGUGGCCUUUGUUUCAGAACUGCCAAAGACGGUUUCUGGAAAGAUCCAAAGGAGUAAAUUGCGAAGUCAGGAGUGGGGGAAAUGAGAUGCAGCCACAGGAAGGCCCCAUAGACCUCUGAAAGCUCCACCUGGAACUAAUGGAUCACUGGUCAGCCCCCACGGGGGCAUCAUCUCUUCAACCCUGAAGAUGUUAAAGGCCUGCAGCUUCCAAACGGGCAUCCCCAGGAUCACUAGGCAAUGCUGGAAAGGGCAAAAGAACAUCUCUGGCCCCGACCACAGACAUGCUGCCCUGCCUAGCAAAUGCUCAGUGGCUUCACUUCUCCCUCUGUCUGGGGGGGCAGGCUCAGCAUCUGCCCACUUGCCCACUGGUCUCACUUACUAGAGCUUCCAGAUUUCCCCCCAUAGGACAGGUUACCGUAACCUUGGGGCACUUGUGGUAUCAUUCUCUGCCAGUGGGAAUGUAAAGGCUUCAUCCUUAGUAUGUGACCAUUUGGUAAAAGUAUGCAGGACCAUAAAAUUAGCAAUAUCCUUUAGCUAAAAAAUUCUACCUUUGGGAGUCACCACAAAAGAAAAAAAUCAAAAUGCAGAAAAUGUGUGGCAAACUAAGAUAAUUAUUCAGCAUUCUUUAAAAAACAAAAGAAAAAAAUUAACAUCCAAACAACAAGAUGAUUAAUAAAAUUGUAAUAGAUUAACUCAAUAACAUUUUAUGUGGCCAUUAAAAUACUUAAGAGCAGUUUAGUAUGUCUUGGGAAAAGUGUAAGCUAUAUUAUUUUUAUAAAUCAUAAUGAAAAUAUGUGCAUACUAGAGAAUCCCAACUCUGAAAAAUAAAGAGAAAACUGUAGUUAAUUGUAAUUUUCUUCUCCUGGAGACUGAGGAGGGAGGGAGAGAAAAUAAUGGAUGGUAAUUUUUCUUCCUUUUCCCACUUCAUUUCUGUAUUUUCCAAGUUUUUGUCCUAAGCAUAUACAACUAUUUUAAUGAAAAAGUUAUUUUGAAGAAA